UCAGACGAUGCGUCAUGCAUAUCAAUAAGCGGAGGAAAAGAAACUAACAAGGAUUCCCUCAGUAACGGCGAGUGAAGCGGGAAGAGCUCAAAUUUGAAAUCUUGAAAGGUCACCUUUCACGAAUUGUAGUUUAAAGAAGUGUUUUCUGUUACGAUCGUAAUAUAAGUUCUUUGGAAUAGGACAUCACAGAGGGUGAGAAUCCCGUCUAUGAUUGCGAUUUGUAGCUUUGUGAUACACUUUCAAAGAGUCGGGUUGUUUGGGAAUGCAGCCCAAAACGGGAGGUAAAUUUCUUCUAAGGCUAAAUAUUGGCGAGAGACCGAUAGCGAACAAGUACCGUGAGGGAAAGAUGAAAAGAACUUUGAAAAGAGAGUUAAAUAGUACGUGAAAUUGUCAAAAGGGAAGCGUUUAACACCAGUGUUGUUUUCUGAAAAUCAACCUCUGUUAGCUUUAUGCAUGUUUGUUUAGACCUAAUCAGCUAUCUUGCAUGUUCUAUUGUUUGCAGUGGUGCACUUUUCAGUUUACAGGUCAACAUCAGUUUUUUUUACCGUAAAAAAGUUAAAGAAAGGUAGCUCAUGGCUCCGGUCGUGAGUGUUAUAGUCUUUUUCCUAUGCGGUAGGAGAGACUGAGGUCUGCAGUGUAGGCUAUUUGGCUAGAUACUCAGGUGCUAUGUGAUACCAUUUCAUAAACAAUUUGUUGAUUAUGUUUUGUCUAUUGCAUACUCGCUUGUACUAUCAUACCUACGCUUAGGAUGUUGAAGACUCUACAGAGAUA
rnacentral:rRNA from 1 species